AUUGAACGCUGGCGGCAGGCCUAACACAUGCAAGUCGAGCGGAGCGGCGGACGGGCGAGUAAUGCCUAGGAAUCUGCCUGGUCGUGGGGGAUAACGUCAGGAAACGGGCGCUAAUACGGCAUACUAUCAGACGAGUCUAGGUCGGCGUAGCUAGUUGGAGGGGUAAAGGCCUACCAAGGCGACGAUCCGUAACUGGUCUGAGAGGAUGAUCAGUCACACUGGAACUGAGACACGGUCCAGACUCCUACGGGAGGCAGCAGUGGGGAAUAUUGGACAAUGGGCGAAAUCCUGAUCCAGCCAUGCCGCGUGUGUGAAGAAGGUCUUCGGAUUGUAAAGCACUUUAGGUUGGGAGGCGUUACCAACAGAAUAAGCACCGGCUAACUUCGUGCCAGCAGCCGCGGUAAUAC
rnacentral:rRNA from 1 species